UACGAAGGUGGCAAGCGUUGUCCGAUGUUAUUGGGCGUAAAGAGUUCUGUAGGCUGAAUUGUAAGUUAUAUGUUAAAUCUUCCGACUUAAUCGGAAACUCGCAUGUAAUACUGCAGUUCUAGAGUAAGGUAGGGGUUAGCGGAACGUACGGUGUAGUAGUGAAAUGCGUUGAUAUCGUACGGAACACCAAAGGCGUAGGCAGCUAACUGGACCUUCACUGACGCUGAGAGACGAAAGCGUGGGUAGCGAAAGGG
rnacentral:misc_RNA from 1 species